UAUUUUAGGGUUUGACUGAGCUCAAUAAAAUAGUGGGCCUCAAAAACCCGCUCAAACAGCCACCAGCGUUUGGGGCUAUAAAGUCCACGAUUUGAGCUUUUAGCCCGAUUGGAUUUUUUUUUAAUUUAUAGUUAUUAUUACUCAUAUAAUUAUAUAUUGAGAAAAUUAAAAUAAAUAGGGGAUUAAAAUUAAAUUCACGUUUAGCCUUCACUCUUACGCUAGUUCAUUAAUUGAGGAAUCUUAACUUUUGAAUUAAAUAUGAAAAAUAUUAUAUCUUAGAUUAAAUACUUAUAAAUUAAUUAAAUAUAAUCAUGAUGCGUGCAUUUAAAUCAUUUAUUUUUGUGAACCUCUUCCUGAUAUAAUGAGUAUUACCAUCCCUUUCUAACUUUGUUAUGACAUUAAGUUUGCCCCUCUUUAGAGUACACUUUAAUUAAUGUAGUAUGAAAUGUGAAUGACCAUUUUUGCUAACUUUGUAGUUGAAGAAUGGAUGUUUUAUUGAUUUGAAUACAAUUUUUUCAAUGUGAAUGUUUUAUAGCAAUGGAUAGAAUUAUAAUAAUUGAUGUCAUUCUAAUAUUCUUUUAGAUUUUUAUUUCGCUUAUAAUUAUCGCUAUGAAUUAAUGUUAUUCGAUUUAAUUUAAUUUAUUUUUUAUAAUUUAAAAAGGAAAAAAGAAAAAAAAGAUCACCAGGCAGUUUUGGCACGAAUGAGGCUUGGUUAGACUUGAUAAAAUGAAGUCCAAUCGACUUUUGGGCUGGUUUGGUCCGAACCGAUAAA
rnacentral:lncRNA from 1 species